AUCAAGCUGACGAGUCCUAAAAAGAAUGAAACGUGCGUCCUGGAU
rfam:Schistosoma rodhaini strain Burundi genome assembly, scaffold: SROB_scaffold0014809